rnacentral:misc_RNA from 1 species
GAGAAUAACAAAGCAGGUAAUACUAAAAACACUAGUCUUCCUUCUCUCCUAAUCUCCUCCAGUUGCUCCAUAAGACUGUACCAUUUCCUCUUGAAAUAAUAAUAAUAGAAAGACUGUCAUACGUGGACCUAUCAUCAAUGAGAAAUUGAGAAUACGUAAGAACAACUAUGAGGAACAAAGAGAGACUUUAUAAUGAUGAUGAUCAUUAAUAAUAAGAUAAUGGUACAAUUAGCCUCAGCCUGAGCUAGUUACUGCUUGAUUGUCGUACUUGAUUGUGGAGGGAUUAGCAGUUGUAAAGUGAAGGAGUCUUCAUGGUUGUACUGGAGUAACAGUGUAGCUGUUAGGAUAAAGACAAUAUUAGAAUCAUUAUAUAAAGAAGAUAAUGGUGGUUGGUCUGUUACUGUGAGACAUGUAGAACAUGUUAAAUCAUAUGCACCUCAUGUUGAUCAUAUUGUAACUGAUAUUGAAUGUAGACCUUUUAAAACACUUUAAAGGAAAUUAUAAUCAACAUUAAGACUUAUACCUAAGUCAUCAUUGCCACUAGAUGAUUGAUGACCCUGACUAUCUAGUGAUCAUGAAGGGGCGGGGACCAACUAACUGAGCUAUGAGACCAUGACUGAGAAGGAGAAAAAUUUCAAAGAAAUCAGAGAAAGACUAGCCCACUUGGCUCUAACUGAUGUACAGGAGACUGGUAAAGAGUUAGGCCGUGGAGCUUAUGGUGUUAUUACUGAAGUAAUAGUUAGUGGAACAGCCUGUGCUGCUAAGAAGCUUCAUGAUGUUAUUGUAGGGGAGUAUUCUUUGAUAAUGUUUGGUAAUGAGGUGCUUCUUCACAGUCAGCAAAGGCAUCCUAACAUUGUCCAGCUAAUUGGUGUCUAUUAUCCUCCUCGUUCACAAUUACCAAUGUUAGUAAUGGAGUAUCUUUAUCACUCAGACAAUGUCUGGAGAGAGAAGAGCUACCACUUCAAAUGAAGUAUUCUAUUCUUGAUGUUGCUAAGGGUUUGUGUUAUCUUCAUGGUAAACGUCCUCCUAUAGUACAUUGUGACCUCACUGCUAAUAACGUGUUACUGACCUCUUCAUACUCAGCUAAGAUAUCAGAUCUAGGAGUGUCAAGAUUAGCCGAUACCUUUAAAAACCAUCACCUCACUACAGUACCUGGUAAUGCUAUGGUAAUGCCACCAGAAAAUCUUGAAGAUAAUCCGUGGUCGAUUCCCUCAGCCUACAGACCAGUUUAUACAAAAACCAGGAAGGGCGAAGUCUUUCAAAAAAGUACAAGAAUGGGACAGAAGGUCCAAAUAUAUAGAGCAAAUUCCAAAGGAAAAUGAACUCGUUCCAUUAGCUCAGAAAUGCCUAAAUGAUGACCCUAAGUAUAGACCAGAUAUGACUGAGCUGGCUCAAAAACUUUCAAAGUUGAAAAUUGUAGAUCUAGAAGCAAUAGAAACUGGAGUAAGAGCCACUCUAGCAGUGAAUGAAGAGGAAGAAAAUACUGCAUCUGUUACUCAAGUAAUGUACACUUUAGUUGUGCAACAUGAAAAGAAAGGAGUUGGUUACUGGAUAACUACAUUUUCUGUUGUUAGAGAUAUUAAACUUUACAAUGAGAAUACACAUUUUGCUGAUAAAGAGCGAGGGUCAGUUUUUACAUUCCAAUACAAUCAACCUAAUGGCGUCCUUUCAGGUGUCUAUACAUAAUCCUCCACCACUUAAAUCAGGAU